GCCCCGUUAGCUCAUCUGGUAGAGCGCCGGACUUUUAAUCCGGUGGGGCGGGUUCGAGUCCCGCACGGGGCACCA
rnacentral:tRNA from 1 species